rnacentral:tRNA from 1 species
AAAAAUUUAGUUAAAAUAUAACAUUAGUUUGUCAAACUAAAAUUAUCUUGAGAUAAUUUUUU